rnacentral:lncRNA from 1 species
UGUGGUUGGAGAGAGACGAGGACAGCAUGACCACUGGGCACCGCACACUACAGAGGUCAGCUUGCAAGGACAGCGGGACGGCGGUGAUGUGGCCGUGACUAGUUGUCAAAUAACACACUUCAAAAAUAUAGUACGGCCCCCAAAGCCAGCCAGCCACCUCGUCUGGUAUUCGACAGAAGAAGGAAUAACUGACCAAAGAUGGAGGAAGGUGAAUAUGCUGCACUUAGCAGGAGAAGGAUGUUGGUGU